rnacentral:rRNA from 1 species
GUCCACGCUGUAAACGAUGACAACUAGAUGUUGGGAGGGGAACCUUUCAGUAUCGAAGUUAACACUAUAAGUUGUCCGCCUGGGAAGUACGGCCGCAAGGUUGAAACUCAAAGGAAUUGACUGGGGCCCGCACAAGCGGUGGAGCAUGUGGUUUAAUUCGAUGCAACGCGAAGAACCUUACCUACCCUUGACAUCUAAAGAAUCCUGAUGAGAGUUGGGAGUGCCGAAAGGAGCUUUAAGACAGGUGCUGCAUGGCUGUCGU